GGAAUGAAAGACCCGGCUGUGUCUUUCAGGUCUGAUCUCAGAGCUGAAGCUGGCUGUGCCCUGGGGCCACAUCGCAGCCAAAGCCUGGGGCCCUGCAGGGCCCUCCCGUUCUCUGCCUGCACGGCUGGCUGGACAAUGCCAACUCCUUCAACAGACUCAUCCCUCUUCUCCCGCAAGACUUUUAUUACGUUGCCAUGGAUUUCGGAGGUCAUGGGCUCUCGUCCCAUUACAGCCCAGGUGUCCCAUAUUACCUCCAGACUUUUGUGAGUGAGAUCCGAAGAGUUGCGGCAGCCUUGAAAUGGAAUCGAUUCUCCAUUCUGGGCCACAGCUUCGGUGAGUACACUGGCCAGGAGCUGACCGGGCCCGGAGUACGGCUGGGAGGGAAGGAUAGGAGCUGCUGCCCCACCCUUUUCCCCUGCACUUAUGAGAUCUGCAAAGAGAGAUGAGAGGGUCAGUCAGAGGUUGACCACUGUACCCUCUGACCUCAGGCAACUGCCGCAAGGGACACAGGGAUGAGGGAAAUGUGGUCUUUUGAGUGGUCAGGUCUGAUGAAGGGGCGAUCAUGGCCCAGAUGCUGAGCCCCCAGCCACCCAU
rnacentral:sRNA from 1 species